CUCUUACUGGGUUUCACAUUUCUUCUUUUACUUGUGUGUUUCAAAUUCAGGUUUCUUUCUGUUUGUUGUGAUGGCUAAGAGAUUCACAACACAGCUUUUCGUCAGCAGACUCUCUGCUUACACCACAGAUCAAUCACUGAGGCAACUGUUUGCGCCUUUUGGUCAGAUUAUAGAAGCUCGUCUUAUUAGGGACCAGCAAACACAAAGACCUAAGAGCAACCCCAAUGGAGGGGCCUAGAGAGACUCUUAGCUCUGAAUCCUUAAGAAAAGAGGUCCAAAUUAAAUAAAAAAUGUGGAUAAAGAUAAGAAACGUACCUUAGUUUAGAGUUUUUUUUGUCUGCAAGAGUCCAUACGUGUCAGUUUUCUAUUGGUGUGCAUAGAGAGAAAACAAUUAAUUUUUCCCCCUCUCUCUCUCUUCUCUUGUAAUCUCCGAUGGCUGCGAAAUGAAGAACAUGGUCUCGACUCUCGAUCAUCAUCGUCGAAGUGUUUAGAUCAUCAAAUCGUCAGAGAAAAUCCGAAGAAACUGGUCUCCUAGCCGCCGUGAUCAAAUCGUGAUGAACUAGGGUUUUUUGAAUUGGUAAUUGAUGAAUUUGGUCACAGACAAAUUCUUAGAGAAAUAAACAAGGACCGAAUUUGAAUGGAUUGUUUGGAAGACAAUCUGGAACAACACCAGGAUACUCAUACUCUGUUGGGAGGAGAAGACUCUUUACGAUUACUUGUUGAAUCCUAAGAAGAAUAUUUAGGCAAAGUUAAAUGAGGUAACUUCUUUGGUAGGACAUGUUAUGCUUUAGAAACUAUGAGAGGCCGUAUGGAUGGGAGAAACAGAGAAGCGGUGGAAAAAGCAAUCUCCAUGGAUAGCUUUACUAGUAAAUGUGAUAGUUUUGUUUGCACUCUCGCUACCAUAGCCACUUCUUCUUUUCCAUAUGUCUUUUGUGUCUUGUAGGUUGAGGCUCUAGCCGCUAAGUUAACUCAAAAUGAAGGUGAAUUAAUUCAAGAUAAGUUUGAAGUGAAGAAACUGGCAAGCUUCAUCAAGAAGGUCUUAUAAGUUUCCUUUUCAUGUUUAAUACACUGUAAUUUUGUUAGACAUUUACAGAUUCAAUAUAUUCUCUUCUAGCUUGGUUACUUUUUUUAACAGUCAAUUUAUGUCUUGUAUGUUUACAAUUUUAGGAAAUUAUAAUAAUUAUUAAGUUUUAUCAAAUAAAAAUGUUUACAAUUUUUUAUUUUAAGAUCAAUAUAUUAUUUUAAGAAACUUAUUUAAGGACUCUACCAUUGGACAAAAUUUUCUAUAAGGAUUCAACAUAAACUCUUAAUUUUCAAAUUGUCAUAAUUUAUAAUUAAAAAAUGUUUAAGAGUUUUUUUAAGGACUCUACCAUUGAGCUUGCUCUAAAGGUUUCGGAUUCAUUACUUUCGAGUCUGAGGAUGAUGCACAAAACGCUUUGAAAGCUUUGAAUGGGAAGAUUGUUAAGGGCAGAUUAAUAUUUGUGGAAGCUGCAAAGGAAGUAGAAGCACCAAUAACAAUUAUGAAAAAGUAACAAGGCUUGAAGAGUACACACUGUCAUUACAAAACGACUAAAGACUCUUUCACCAAAUCAUUCUAGAGUUCUACAUUGUC